rnacentral:rRNA from 1 species
UCAUAGCGACUAUCGUGGCAUAUCAAUAAGCGGAGGAAAAGAAACUAACAAGGAUUCCUUUAGUAACGGCGAGUGAAGCGGGAAGAGCUCAAAUUUGAAAUCUUCAAGGUUCUACCUUGACGAAUUGUAGUUUAUAGAAGUGUUUUCUGUUAGUGGAGUGGCAAAAGUUCUUUGGAAUAGGACAUCAUAGAGGGUGAGAAUCCCGUAUUUGGUCAUUCCUCCUAGCGUUGUGAUACACUUUCAACGAGUCGGAUUGCUUGGGAAUGCAGUCCAAAAUGGGUGGUAAAUUUCAUCUAAAGCUAAAUAUUGGCGAGAGACCGAUAGCGAACAAGUACCGUGAGGGAAAGAUGAAAAGAACUUUGAAAAGAGAGUUAAACAGUACGUGAAAUUGUCAAAAGGGAAGCGUUUGACACCAGUGUUGUUUUUCCGAAAAUCAAUUACGAAUGUUUUAUUUUUGAGGAGUUAUGACUUCAUCGGCUUGCUCCUUUCUUUAUGAAACUUUCUUAAUGCACUUUUCGGUUAACAAGUCAACAUCAAUUUCUUUUGUUGUAAAAGGAUAUGAGGAAGGUGGCUUUCUUUUCGGAGAAAGUGUUUAUAGCCUUGUGCCUCUGCAAUCGGAGAGAUUGAGGUCUGCAGCGUAGAUCCUUCGGGGUUAGAUACGUUUGUGCUAAGUUAUAGCUUUUCAUAGACAACUUGUUGACUAUGUUUAGUCUUGUAGCUUACUCGCUGACGCUAUUUUACCUACGCUUAGGAUGUUGACGAGACUGUCGAUCUC